UACGUAGGGGGCAAGCGUUGUCCGGAUUUACUGGGCGUAAAGAGCGCGUAGGCGGAAGUUUAAGCGUAGCCUGAAAGCCCCCGGCUCAACCGGGGAGGGUGGCCGCGAACUGGACUUCUUGAGGGCGAUAGAGGAGAGCGGAAUUCCUGGUGUAGCGGUGAAAUGCGUAGAGAUCAGGAGGAACACCCGUGGCGAAGGCGACUUACUGGACGAUUGUUGACGCUGAGGUGCGAAAGCGUGGGGAGCAAACAGG
rnacentral:rRNA from 1 species